rnacentral:lncRNA from 1 species
GGCAGUGUGAGGUAUGCGCUUAAGAAAUAAAGGGAUGAAACAGGUUUGGGCACUGGCUCGGGCAUAAAUCUAAGCCCUCAUUAAAGGGACUGGGAGGAAUAUGAGUGUGUAGACCCGGUCUUAAGAGACAUCUGGUUCCGGAGCCCGGGCUCGAAGCUUGACAGCUGUACAGCUAAAAGAAAACUAAUUUCUCAUGGACGUGACUUCCUUCCAUGUUCUUCAUCUGUCAGUAGCAUGUGUGGGUGUUAUUACUAUGCCCGACUUAGAGUCUCAUGGCCACCCCGUCUGGAUGCGGGCGGGCUGCAGCAAACCCAGUCAGCUUUUCAGUUGUCUUAUUCUGUGGUUAACAUGGUUGGGUACACUUGGCUCCAACACUUGCUUGAGCGCCAUCGGACUAGAACCACCGACUUUGGGUAUGUCUAGGGUGCCCUUGGUAUUGAAUGCCUCGUGCAUGGCGCCCCCUGCUGGAAAAUCAAAGGAUAUCAUCAUAGUCCUCUAUCACCAUUGUCCUAAGUCAUGGCUGAUGCUGUUACAAGAUGUGGCUUCCUCAAGAUUACCGCAUUCAUAGUAGCCAAAGGCCUACAUAUCAACAAGAACAUAAUUUCUGAGAGACCUUCCUUCAGCAAUAAUUCAGUUGAGUCAUGAGUCAAGCAAAAGUAGUGAGAGAUAAUUAACAGACUCCCAUGACAUCAGGAGGCGUCUCUUCUAAGUUUUGUGAGAUGAAAUUGUUACUUUCGGAGGCUGUGGAACCUUUAGGUCAUGGCGGCCUGGCUGACAGAGGUGGGUUUCUGGUGGUGGAUCAGAAAGUCGGACCCUAUCACGUUUCUUGCUUGUUAGUCUACUGCAGUGUGACUAGCCUCUGCCACGCCUCCCCCCAUCCCCCGUAUGGUUUCAGGUAUGCUGGUGUGCCUUUCCUGUCAGAAUGGACUAAAAUUUCCUAGUCUGUGAGCCCAAAGAAAUCUUUCUCGCCUGGCCUUGGUUCUGGGAGGUGUUUUGGUCACCGUGACAUGCAGGUAACUUAGACACCACUUCUCAUGAAAUCACGCAAUGGGUAGGGUUAGGGAGGUGUGUAUGGUAGGUAGAGAAAAU